rnacentral:tRNA from 1 species
GGUGGCUCAGUGGUAGAGCGCUUGCCUCGCAUGCAUGAGGCUCUGGGUUUGAUUCCUCAGCACCA